rnacentral:misc_RNA from 1 species
GAAGAUGCCUCAAGUUAUACCUGGAGAUUUGACAACAGGAACUUGGACAUGUUCAAAACAUUAGAAGAAAAUGGGAUUUUUGAUGAAAGGGAUGAUUAUACCCAUGCAGGUCUA